AAAACAAAAAAAGACAAUGAAAACAAUAUUCGUAAAUACAUAUUGGUGGUGGCGCCCGUUACAACUCCGACAGUCGUAAGGGAGCAGUGCUCGUGUGUAUAUACAAUCAUGGAUAGAUAAACAAAGAGCCCUGUC
rnacentral:ncRNA from 1 species